rnacentral:ncRNA from 2 species
AAGUGUUCGCGCGACUGGCGAGAAGAGAUGGUGAACCAUCGGGGAACGCGAACCUUGUAAUGCCGCUCGCCUGGGCACCCAUU